rnacentral:rRNA from 1 species
GGGUUGUGAGGUUAAGCGACUAAGCGUACACGGUGGAUGCCCUGGCAGUCAGAGGCGAUGAAGGACGUGCUAAUCUGCGAUAAGCGUCGGUAAGGUGAUAUGAACCGUUAUAACCGGCGAUUUCCGAAUGGGGAAACCCAGUGUGAUUUGUCACACUAUCAUUAACUGAAUCCAUAGGUUAAUGAGGCGAACCGGGGGAACUGAAACAUCUAAGUACCCCGAGGAAAAGAAAUCAACCGAGAUUCCCCCAGUAGCGGCGAGCGAACGGGGAGCAGCCCAGAGCCUGAAUCAGUGUGUGUGUUAGUGGAAGCGUCUGGAAAGGCGCGCGAUACAGGGUGACAGCCCCGUACACAAAAAUGCACAUACUGUGAGCUCGAUGAGUAGGGCGGGACACGUGGUAUCCUGUCUGAAUAUGGGGGGACCAUCCUCCAAGGCUAAAUACUCCUGACUGACCGAUAGUGAACCAGUACCGUGAGGGAAAGGCGAAAAGAACCCCGGCGAGGGGAGUGAAAAAGAACCUGAAACCGUGUACGUACAAGCAGUGGGAGCCUCUUUUAUGGGGUGACUGCGUACCUUUUGUAUAAUGGGUCAGCGACUUAUAUUCUGUAGCAAGGUUAACCGAAUAGGGGAGCCGAAGGGAAACCGAGUCUUAACUGGGCGUUAAGUUGCAGGGUAUAGACCCGAAACCCGGUGAUCUAGCCAUGGGCAGGUUGAAGGUUGGGUAACACUAACUGGAGGACCGAACCGACUAAUGUUGAAAAAUUAGCGGAUGACUUGUGGCUGGGGGUGAAAGGCCAAUCAAACCGGGAGAUAGCUGGUUCUCCCCGAAAGCUAUUUAGGUAGCGCCUCGUGAAUUCAUCUCCGGGGGUAGAGCACUGUUUCGGCAAGGGGGUCAUCCCGACUUACCAACCCGAUGCAAACUGCGAAUACCGGAGAAUGUUAUCACGGGAGACACACGGCGGGUGCUAACGUCCGUCGUGAAGAGGGAAACAACCCAGACCGCCAGCUAAGGUCCCAAAGUCAUGGUUAAGUGGGAAACGAUGUGGGAAGGCCCAGACAGCCAGGAUGUUGGCUUAGAAGCAGCCAUCAUUUAAAGAAAGCGUAAUAGCUCACUGGUCGAGUCGGCCUGCGCGGAAGAUGUAACGGGGCUAAACCAUGCACCGAAGCUGCGGCAGCGACACUAUGUGUUGUUGGGUAGGGGAGCGUUCUGUAAGCCUGUGAAGGUGUACUGUGAGGUAUGCUGGAGGUAUCAGAAGUGCGAAUGCUGACAUAAGUAACGAUAAAGCGGGUGAAAAGCCCGCUCGCCGGAAGACCAAGGGUUCCUGUCCAACGUUAAUCGGGGCAGGGUGAGUCGACCCCUAAGGCGAGGCCGAAAGGCGUAGUCGAUGGGAAACAGGUUAAUAUUCCUGUACUUGGUGUUACUGCGAAGGGGGGACGGAGAAGGCUAUGUUGGCCGGGCGACGGUUGUCCCGGUUUAAGCGUGUAGGCUGGUUUUCCAGGCAAAUCCGGAAAAUCAAGGCUGAGGCGUGAUGACGAGGCACUACGGUGCUGAAGCAACAAAUGCCCUGCUUCCAGGAAAAGCCUCUAAGCAUCAGGUAACAUCAAAUCGUACCCCAAACCGACACAGGUGGUCAGGUAGAGAAUACCAAGGCGCUUGAGAGAACUCGGGUGAAGGAACUAGGCAAAAUGGUGCCGUAACUUCGGGAGAAGGCACGCUGAUAUGUAGGUGAAGUCCCUCGCGGAUGGAGCUGAAAUCAGUCGAAGAUACCAGCUGGCUGCAACUGUUUAUUAAAAACACAGCACUGUGCAAACACGAAAGUGGACGUAUACGGUGUGACGCCUGCCCGGUGCCGGAAGGUUAAUUGAUGGGGUCAGCGCAAGCGAAGCUCUUGAUCGAAGCCCCGGUAAACGGCGGCCGUAACUAUAACGGUCCUAAGGUAGCGAAAUUCCUUGUCGGGUAAGUUCCGACCUGCACGAAUGGCGUAAUGAUGGCCAGGCUGUCUCCACCCGAGACUCAGUGAAAUUGAACUCGCUGUGAAGAUGCAGUGUACCCGCGGCAAGACGGAAAGACCCCGUGAACCUUUACUAUAGCUUGACACUGAACAUUGAGCCUUGAUGUGUAGGAUAGGUGGGAGGCUUAGAAGUGUGGACGCCAGUCUGCAUGGAGCCGACCUUGAAAUACCACCCUUUAAUGUUUGAUGUUCUAACGUUGACCCGUAAUCCGGGUUGCGGACAGUGUCUGGUGGGUAGUUUGACUGGGGCGGUCUCCUCCUAAAGAGUAACGGAGGAGCACGAAGGUUGGCUAAUCCUGGUCGGACAUCAGGAGGUUAGUGCAAUGGCAUAAGCCAGCUUGACUGCGAGCGUGACGGCGCGAGCAGGUGCGAAAGCAGGUCAUAGUGAUCCGGUGGUUCUGAAUGGAAGGGCCAUCGCUCAACGGAUAAAAGGUACUCCGGGGAUAACAGGCUGAUACCGCCCAAGAGUUCAUAUCGACGGCGGUGUUUGGCACCUCGAUGUCGGCUCAUCACAUCCUGGGGCUGAAGUAGGUCCCAAGGGUAUGGCUGUUCGCCAUUUAAAGUGGUACGCGAGCUGGGUUUAGAACGUCGUGAGACAGUUCGGUCCCUAUCUGCCGUGGGCGCUGGAGAACUGAGGGGGGCUGCUCCUAGUACGAGAGGACCGGAGUGGACGCAUCACUGGUGUUCGGGUUGUCAUGCCAAUGGCACUGCCCGGUAGCUAAAUGCGGAAGAGAUAAGUGCUGAAAGCAUCUAAGCACGAAACUUGCCCCGAGAUGAGUUCUCCCUGACCCUUUAAGGGUCCUGAAGGAACGUUGAAGACGACGACGUUGAUAGGCCGGGUGUGUAAGCGCAGCGAUGCGUUGAGCUAACCGGUACUAAUGAACCGUGAGGCUUAACCUUACAACGCCGAAG